rnacentral:rRNA from 1 species
GUGCCAGCAGCCGCGGUAAUACGAAUGGAGCGAGCGUUGUUCGGAAUCACUGGGCGUAAAGGGUGCGCAGGCGGUCAUGAAAGUUAGAAGUGAAAUCCCAGGGCUCAACCCUGGAAUUGCUUUUAAAACUCCAUGACUAGAGUACUGGAGAGGUUAGCGGAAUUCCGAGUGUAGCAGUGAAAUGCGUAGAUAUUCGGAGGAACACCAAUGGCGUAGGCAGCUAACUGGACAGUAACUGACGCUCAUGCACGAAAGCGUGGGGAUCAAACAGGAUUAGAUACCCCGGUAGUCC